UACAGAGGUGGCAAGCGUUGUUCGGAAUUACUGGGCGUAAAGGGCGCGUAGGCGGCCUUCUAAGUCGAACGUGAAAUCCCCAGGCUCAACCCGGGAACUGCGUCCGAUACUGGAAGGCUUGAAUCCGGGAGAGGGAUGUGGAAUUCCAGGUGUAGCGGUGAAAUGCGUAGAUAUCUGGAGGAACACCGGUGGCGAAGGCGACAUCCUGGACCGGUAUUGACGCUGAGGCGCGAAAGCCAGGGGAGCAAACGGG
rnacentral:rRNA from 1 species